AUGGGCACAGGCACAUAUCUGCUGGACAAGGAGCACCUGCCCAUCUACCCAGAAUUUGAGGACAACACUAUGGUGAUGGAUGAAAAUGAACCAUCUUCUGUGCACGCACAAGCCAAGAAGGAGAAGGCAAAGGCUGAAAAGGCUACAAGGAUGCCAACUACUGAAGAAGCAUCUCAGUAUCUUCUGAAGAGCAAGCAAGAUCAGCUUGGCUACUUUAUUGCAUCAACUCUGAGGAUUGAGAAGGGACUGGCCACCCUGACUCAAAACCAGGAGAGCUUGGAAAGGAUCAUGGAGCAAAAGUUCUAUGAAUUGGAUGUGAAGGUAACUAAGAUCCAGUCUGCUGUGGAGAAACUUCAGGAUGAUAUGCAGGAGAGGAAGGGCAAGAUAACCAUUGAUGCAUUUGUCAGAGUGCCUAGAGCUCAGAGGUCUUCUGCAGUGCCUGUUCCAGACACCGGAGCCACUUCAUCUGCACCAGCUACAGCUUCAGUGCCACCAGCUCCAGCACCUACUCCAUCAGCUCCAUCUACAUCGACUGAAGCCUUCGUUCUUGGAGUUAUCUGGACACCACCACCUGAAGAUCAAGCCUGA
rnacentral:rRNA from 1 species